rnacentral:rRNA from 1 species
GCGCGGAAACCUUUACAAUGCACGAAGUGUAGGAUAAGGCAACGUCCUUGUGCUUAUCCAAAAGAUAGGCUUUUUAGUAUGUAAUGUAUGCUAAGAAUAAGUGAUGGGCAAGACAGGUGCCAGCAGCCGCGGUAAUACCGGCGUCACAAGUGGAGAUCACGAUUACUGGGUCUAAAGUGUCGUAGCUGGUCAUAUAAGUCUCUUGUGAAAGUUCUGUAGCUUAACUCAGAAUUGCAAGAGAUACUGUAUGACUUGAGACCGGAAGAGGUGUAAAGUAUGAAUUGGGUAGCGGUAAAAUGCUAUAAUCCUUUUCAGACUAACUAAGGCGAAGGCAUUACACUAAGACGGAUCUGACAGUGA